GACGAACGCUGGCGGCGUGCUUAACACAUGCAAGUCGAGCGAACGGACGCGAAGUUUGUUUCUUUGACGUUAGCGGCGGACGGGUGAGUAACACGUGUAUAACCUACUUAUCAGACUGGGAUAAUCUCGGGAAACCGGAGCUUAUACCGGAUAAUAUUCUGCACCGUAUGGUUCAAAAGUGAAAGACGGUCUUGCUGUCACUUAUCGAUGGUUCUGCGCUGCUUUAGCUGGUUGGUAAGGUAACGGCUUAGCAAGGCAACGAUGCAUAGGCGACGGGAGAGGGGGGUCGGCCACACUGGAGCGGGAACACGCACCAUGGGCCUGCGGGAGGCAGCAGUAGGCAAUCGUCCGCAGUAGGCGGGAACCUGACGGAGCGGCGCGACGUGUGUUGUAGAAGUCUUGGGAGCGUGAAACUCUGUUAUUAGGGAAGAACAUAUGUGUACGGAACUGUACACAGCGUGACGGUACCUAAUCAGAAAGCCACGGCUAACUACGUG
rnacentral:rRNA from 1 species